UGCCCUACGGGACGCAGCAGUGAGGAAUAUUGGUCAAUGGUCGGGAGACUGAACCAGCCAAGCCGCGUGAGGGAGGAAGGUACAGAGUAUCGUAAACCUCUUUUGUCAGGGAACAAAGGCGGGGACGUGUCCCCGGAUGAGUGUACCUGAAGAAAAAGCAUCGGCUAACUCCGUGCCAGCAGCCGCGGUAAUACGGAGGAUGCGAGCGUUAUCCGGAUUUAUUGGGUUUAAAGGGUGCGCAGGCGGUCUGUUAAGUCAGCGGGCAAAGCCCGGGGCUUAAACCCCGCCCGCCGGU
rnacentral:rRNA from 1 species